CGGCGUCGGCGUUGUCGGCGCCGCCUUGCACGACUGCGACAGGUGCAGUGGCGCGGCGCUGGCGCCAGGACGACGGGCGGGCACGAUGAACAGAGGAAGGCGAGGUGGAACUUCACGUCGGCGGCGCCGUGGCGAGAGUUGAGGCGGGCGGCAGGGUCCUUGGCGAAGAGGCGGGCGAUGAGGUCGCGCGCGUCGGCGUCGGCGGGCCGCACGAGCCGG
rnacentral:sRNA from 1 species